AUGCCCAAAUAGGUGUCCUUGCCCUGUGACUUUUUCUUGUUCCACUUUUCAGAAACAUCAAGGAAAUGCCCCGAGGCCUGAUCCUAGAGAAAAACCAUCUCAGAGUAUAUCCCUUUAUUGCUUUCCUAUGAUCGGGUCAUGUGGUUCGUUCUAGCCAAUUGAAUGGGAAAAGAAGUAAUGCACCACAUCUGGUCCAAAUUAGUGAAGCGCAAGUAUACUUUCUCCAUCUGUCAACAGAAGAUACUAGUGUGACCUUGAAGUCCCAAUGUGAAGAUGGUGAAGUUCUAGCAUGAAGGAAGUUUGAAUCCCUAAGUAACUACUUGGAGGACAGUAAACCUAUUGACCUGCAUUGGACAGUCAUGUCAGCAAGAUAUAAAUUUUUAUUGUGUAAAGCCA